GGAGACGCCAACUGUCCUAUCUCUAAGGACACUAAGCAGCCCUGAAAGAGGGCACACAUGAGAGAAUUUAAGGUCUUUCGACAACAACCAGCUCUAACUCACUAGCCAUGUGAGUGACCCCCUUGAAUGCUGGUCCUCCAGCCCCAGUUGAGUCUUCUGAUGAGCCCAAGAAAAUACCUUGACCCAUGAGAGGCUCUGAUCCAGAACCAACCAGCAAAGUCACUCCCAGUGUCCUGACCCACAGAAACUGUAUGAGCUGGUUUUAAAGAAAUGGAGCCUGCGGGUAAGGGUGAAGCUAAAGAAGGCUCAAGAACAAAGCAAAUGUCUGCAGAAGUUUCUCUAGCUGUAGAACCAAGCUCACAUAGGAUACAGGCGCAGAUUUAUUAUAUGAAUAUAUUACGUAGUGGCAAAGUCCAGGUUUUUAAGG